GAUUAACGCUGGCGGCGUGCAUAACACAUUCAAGUCGAACGGUGACGGGGCUUCGGCCCCUGAUCAGUGGCGGACGGGUGAGUAACGCGUGAGCAAUCUACCUCUUGGUGAGGGAUAACAACCGGAAACAGUUGCUAAUACCUCAUGAAACAGCAGCAUCGCAUGGUGCAGCUGUCAAAGAUUUAUUGCCAAGAGAUGAGCUUGCGUCUGAUUAGCUAGUUGGUGAGGUAACGGCUCACCAAGGCGACGAUCGGUAGCCGGACUGAGAGGUUGAACGGCCACAUUGGAACUGAGAUACGGUCCAGACUCCUACGGGAGGCAGCAGUGGGGAAUAUUGGGCAAUGGGCGAAAGCCUGACCCAGCGACGCCGCGUGAGGGAAGAAGAUCUUCGGAUUGUAAACCUUAGUCAACAGGGAAGAAGAAAGUGACGGUACCUGUGGAGGAAGCCACGGCUAACUACGUGCCAGCCGCCGCGGUAAAAC
rnacentral:rRNA from 1 species